rnacentral:rRNA from 1 species
UACAGAGGUCCCGAGCGUUGUUCGGAUUCAUUGGGCGUAAAGCGUGCGCAGGCGGUUGUGCAAGACAGAUGUGAAAUCCCCGGGCUUAACCUGGGAAUUGCAUUUGUGACUGUACGGCUAGAGUGUGUCAGAGGGGGGUAGAAUUCCACGUGUAGCAGUGAAAUGCGUAGAGAUGUGGAGGAAUACCGAUGGCGAAGGCAGCCCCCUGGGAUAACACUGACGCUCAUGCACGAAAGCGUGGGGAGCAAACAGG